AUUGAACGCUGGCGGCAGGCCUAACACAUGCAAGUCGAGCGGGGGUAGCAAUACCCUAGCGGCGAACGGGUGAGGAAUGCUUGGGAAUCUGCCUCGUAGUGGGGGGAUAACGUUCCGAAAGGAACGCUAAUACCGCAUACGUCCUACGGGAGGAAAGGGGGGAUCUUCGGACCUCUCGCUAUGAGAUGACGCCCAAGCGGGAUUAGCUAGUUGGUGAGGUAAAGGCUCACCAAGGCUACGAUCCCUAGCUGGUCUGAGAGGAUGAUCAGCCACGCUGGAACUGAGACACGGUCCAGACUCCUACGGGAGGCAGCAGUGGGGAAUAUUGGACAAGUGGGGGCAACCCUGAUCCAGCCAUGCCGCGUGUGUGAAGAAGGCC
rnacentral:rRNA from 1 species